CUCUUCGGGGAUGAUUAAACCGGCGCACGGGUGAGUAACACGUGAGUGACCUGCCUUUUAGACUGGAACAACUUACCGAAAGGUGAGCUAAUGCCGGAUGAGUUAUAUAAGUGCAUGUUUAUAUAGGAAAAGUUGGGGAGACCUGACGCUGAAAGAUGGACUCGCGUCCCAUUAGCUAGUUGGUAGGGUAAUGGCCUACCAAGGCGACGAUGGGUAGCCGGCCUGAGAGGGUGGCCGGCCACACUGGGACUGAGACACGGCCCAGACUCCUACGGGAGGCAGCAGUGGGGAAUUUUGCGCAAUGCUCGUAAGAGUGACGCAGCGACGCCGCGUGAAUGACGAAGGCCUUCGGGUCGUAAAGUUCUUUCGACAGGGAAGAAAAUGCCUAUAAGUAACUGUGUAUGUAUUGACGGUACCUGUAUAAGCAGCCCCGGCUAACUCCGUGCCAGCAGCCGCGGUAAUACGGAGGGGGCGAGCGUUGUUCGGAGUGACUGGGCGUAAAGAGCACGUAGGCGGUGUUGUAAGUCAUUAGUCAAAGACUAGAGCUCAACUUUAGUAAGGCUAGUGAUACUAUAAUACUAGAGUAUCAGAGAGGAUUGCAGAAUUCCUGGUGUAGCGGUGAAAUGCGUAGAUAUCAGGAGGAAUACCGUUAGCGAAGGCGGCAAUCUGGCUGGAAACUGACGCUGAGGUGCGAAAGCGUGGGUAGCAAACAGGAUUAGAUACCCUGGUAGUCCACGCUGUAAACGAUGGAUGCUAGGUGUUGGGCUUUUAAGUUCAGUGCCGCAGCAAACGCGAUAAGCAUCCCGCCUGGGGAGUACGUUUGCA
rnacentral:rRNA from 1 species